GAUGAACGCUGGCGGCGUGCCUAACACAUGCAAGUCGAACGGACUCGAUUCUUAGGAUGAGAGUUAGUGGCGCACGGGUGAGUAACACGUAGGUGACCUACCCCAGAGCGGGGGACAACUUCUCGAAAGAGAAGCUAAUACCCCGUAUGUUCAAUCAUUCGUUUGAUUGAGUAAAGCUCCGGCGCUCUGGGAGGGGCCUGCGUCCGAUUAGCUAGUUGGUGGGGUAAUGGCCUACCAAGGCGAUGAUCGGUAGCUGGUCUGAGAGGACGAUCAGCCACACUGGCACUGACACACGGGCCAGACUCCUACGGGAGGCAGCAGUGAGGAAUAUUGCGCAAUGGGCGAAAGCCUGACGCAGCAACGCCGCGUGGAGGAUGAAGGCCCUUCGGGUCGUAAACGUACCUUUCUGGGAGAAGAGACAAGGACGGUAUCCCAGGAAUAAGU
rnacentral:rRNA from 1 species